UGCCCCCGGAGCCCGCCGGAACCGUUCGGGGCCGGUUGAUUUUCCCGCCGAUCCCCAUCGCCGCCGCCACUUCCCGUCCGCCCGCACUUCCGGUAUCAAACCCCGCCCCUUUCUUUGCCCCUCCCCACGAAUCUCAUUGGCCCGUCCACGCGCGCGCGCAGCGAGUUCUGAUUGGCUGCGCUGGUGAGAGCCACGCCCAUAUUCUAAUCCCCCUUCAGGCCACCGCCUCUUUGCCUUUGCUUUGAUAUCAUUGGUUGGUGCGCGCGCGCCGGCGGCUUUGAUUGGUGAAAGUCUCCGAAACCCCGCCCACACCGGGCUCUAUAUAAACCUCCGCCGCCGCUGCGGGCGCCCUCUGGGUGCCGGGAGCGCUCUGGGUGCGGUUCCAGUUCCGGGGUCGGAUAAGCGACCGAGAGCGCCGCAGGACCGCGCCGGCGGCGGGAGGAUCGUUUGGUGUUUAAAUUCUUAAUAAAUUGGUCUGAAACGC